AGUGACAAGAAAUAACAAUACGGGGCUUAAUGUCUUGUAAUUGGAAUGAUGGGAAUUUAAACCUCUUCCAGAGUAUCAAUUGGAGGGCAAGUCUGGUGCCAGCAGCCGCGGUAAUUCCAGCUCCAAUAGCGUAUAUUAAAAUUGUUGCAGUUAAAAAGCUCGUAGUUGAACUUCUGCUGCAUUGCCUUUUCUCCUUGAUGAGUUGAUGCAUUGCGGCUUAUUUCGGUCAUGGUUUUCCUUGUCCGGAUGUUUACUUUGAGAAAAUUAGAGUGCUCAAAGCAGGCUUUUGCCUUGAAUAGUUUAGCAUGGAAUAAUAAAGUAGGACUUUGGUUCUAUUUUGUUGGUUUUAUGUACCAAAGUAAUGGUUAAUAGGAACAGUUGGGGGCAUUCGUAUUUAACUGUCAGAGG
rnacentral:rRNA from 1 species